GGGCCCACAUGCUGUCCCCAGACAGGGACGGCCCAGGAUGUGGGGGCUGUGGUGGGGAAGUCAGGGAGUCAGAUAGGAAACUUGGGGGUACGUUGGAGCCCGGAAAAGGAGCUGGCCCUGCCUGGGGAGUCAGGAGGCGUCCAGAGGAGGGACAUCUGAGACGAGGCCCGAGGGACAAGUCAAAGUCAGAUGCCAUGGCCAGUCCACCUUGGGAGGACAAAGAUGGCGGUCAGCUUAGCAAAUGCCUCUGGAGAAAGAGCAUCUUUUCCUGAAGCAGCCAUCCACCACGCAGGAGCAAACACCCUGGAUUAAGUCAAAAUGUCGUCACGGGCACCAACAUUUAAAUUUUACAUGAUUUUCACACUUCACAAAAUA